UGGGGAAUAUUGGACAAUGGGGGGAACCCUGAUCCAGCCAUGCCGCGUGUGUGAAGAAGGCCUUAUGGUUGUAAAGCACUUUAAGCGAGGAGGAGGGUACUGGUAUUAAUACUACCAGGUACUGGACGUUACUCGCAGAAUAAGCACCGGCUAACUCUGUGCCAGCAGCCGCGGUAAUACAGAGGGUGCGAGCGUUAAUCGGAUUUACUGGGCGUAAAGCGUGCGUAGGCGGCUAAUUGAGUCGGAUGUGAAAUCCCCGAGCUUAACUUGGGAAUUGCAUUCGAUACUGGUUAGCUAGAGUGUGGGAGAGGAUGGUAGAAUUCCAGGUGUAGCGGUGAAAUGCGUAGAGAUCUGGAGGAAUACCGAUGGCGAAGGCAGCCAUCUGGCCUAACACUGACGCUGAGGUACGAAAGCAUGGGGAGCAAACAGGA
rnacentral:rRNA from 1 species